GUUUCCCAAAACCGGAUAGAUGAGGAGGCAGUGGGAACUUGCCCUAAGAAGGAACGGUUUUGUUUCCUCUGAUAGGACACUGCUCUGCAGUGAUCACUUCAGGAGUGAGGACUUUGAGAGAACGGGGCAGAAUGUCUGGAUUAAAGAUGGUGUUGUGCCAAACAUUUUCAACUUUCCAGCUCAUCUUCAAAGGCUGGUAACAACAAGAAGCACAACCACCUCUAGAAGAGUGGAAGACAACCUGCCAAUGAACUUGUCUCAGGAUGUACCUCAACCUGAUGAUGUGAGUGUUUGCAUGUGGAAUGUCAAACAAAUGAGAGCAUCAUAUGGCUUGUUACAAACAAAUGAGAGCAUCAUGUGGCUUGAUAUAUUAAAUCCUUUAUCUUGGUGGUACCCAGAAAGGUCUAUAAUGGUGUUAGUAGUCUAAGAGCCCAAUAUUAUUUGAGGUGGUACCCUGUGUGAAAAGUUUGAGAACUACUACAAAUCAUUUCUAACAUUUGAGUGAUUAAUUGCUUUAACCCUUUAACAUCCACCCUCCCUUUGUGGUUGGUCUGUUGGUCAGCAACCCCAAAACGAGGGUGGUUGUUAAAAUGCCACCAGGAUUAACACUUUAUCUUUUUCUUUUCUUUUUUUUUUUCAAUUUGGGCAUCGGGAACGAUUAAAUAAUUAUGACCAUCCUCAAAUUCAACAAUAUGCAAGAACUUGGAUAAAACUGUUUAUACCUACCUCAUACUUACCUCAGUAGCACCCUUAUUGUCACAUGUCAGAUUUACAGGUUUAAAGCAGUGCAGCAAUUUAAUUUUAAAAAGCAUAGCCACAGAGGAAAUGGAGAGAAAUCAAACUAUGCCUCAUACUUGGGUGUUUACUAUCUGAUACCUGUUGACACUCAGUUAUAGUGAUGAUUUCAGUGCUUCAAUACAGUCGCAAUCCCAGAGCCAAAGGGUUCAAAGCCCCCCUUGGUUCUAGGAAUUGGACAAGCACCAGGGAGUUCUUGUCAAAAGCCAGGGGGUACUUGCUCACUUUGAAGAUGGAAGAUGGCAAACCCCUUUACCGAACAAAGAGGUCUUUUAAAAUAGUGACUGUUGUGUUAGUGAUGCACUGACAUCAUUUAUAGUCGCCAGUACCCAGUACAAAUUCUUUAAUAUAAUUAUAUUAUCAGAAUGAGGCGGCUGUUUUAGAAAAUAUGGGUUUAUUUUAUUCUUCAUAAAAUGUAUACAAGUAGUCAAUUUACAAAUCAUUAAAUUAUCUAAGGUAAAACUCUGUUUAUGUUCUCUUGUUUAUCUAUCUUCUGCAUCGAGUUCAUAAGAUGCUCUUUUCUGUCUGUGUCAAGUUCAUAAAGUGGUACGUAUUAUUAAUAUGAUACUAUCUUGUUCCAAUAUGUUUGCUGUCUGCAAAUUUGUUUUAGUUCCAAUUUUCUUGUAUUCAGU
ensembl:lncRNA